rnacentral:rRNA from 1 species
GAUGAACGCUGGCGGCGUGCCUAACACAUGCAAGUCGAACGAAGCACUUUAUUACGAUUUCUUCGGAAUGACGAUUUGGUGACUGAGUGGCGGACGGGUGAGUAACGCGUGGAUAACCUGCCCCAUACAGGGGGAUAACAGCUAGAAAUGGCUGCUAAUACCGCAUAAGCGCACAGGGCCGCAUGGCCCGGUGUGAAAAACUCCGGUGGUAUGAGAUGGACCCGCGUCUGAUUAGCUAGUUGGCAGGGUAACGGCCUACCAAGGCGACGAUCAGUAGCCGGCCUGAGAGGGUGGACGGCCACAUUGGGACUGAGACACGGCCCAGACUCCUACGGGAGGCAGCAGUGGGGAAUAUUGCACAAUGGGGGAAACCCUGAUGCAGCGAUGCCGCGUGAAGGAAGAAGGUUUUCGGAUUGUAAACCUCUGUCUUUGGGGACGAUAAUGACGGUACCCAAGGAGGAAGCUCCGGCUAACUACGUGCCAGCAGCCGCGGUAAUACGUAGGGAGCAAGCGUUAUCCGGAAUUACUGGGUGUAAAGGGAGUGUAGGCGGGACUGCAAGUCAGAUGUGAAAAUUAUGGGCUCAACUCAUAACCUGCAUUUGAAACUGUAGUUCUUGAGUGAAGUAGAGGUAAGCGGAAUUCCUAGUGUAGCGGUGAAAUGCGUAGAUAUUAGGAGGAACAUCAGUGGCGAAGGCGGCUUACUGGGCUUUUACUGACGCUGAGGCUCGAAAGCGUGGGGAGCAAACAGGAUUAGAUACCCUGGUAGUCCACGCUGUAAACGAUGAUUACUAGGUGUGGGGGGACUGACCCCUUCCGUGCCGCAGUUAACACAAUAAGUAAUCCACCUGGGGAGUACGGUCGCAAGACUGAAACUCAAAGGAAUUGACGGGGGCCCGCACAAGCAGUGGAGUAUGCGGUUUAAUUCGACGCAACGCGAAGAACCUUACCAGGUCUUGACAUCUAACGAAUGCUGUAGAGAUACGGCAGUGCCCUUCGGGGAACGUUAAGACAGGUGGUGCAUGGUUGUCGUCAGCUCGUGUCGUGAGAUGUUGGGUUAAGUCCCGCAACGAGCGCAACCCUUAUGUUUAGUUGCUACGCAAGAGCACUCUAGACAGACUGCCGUUGACAAAACGGAGGAAGGUGGGGAUGACGUCAAAUCAUCAUGCCCCUUAUGACCUGGGCUACACGCGUACUACAAUGGCCGUCAACAGAGGGAAGCAAUACAGCGAUGUGGAGCAAAUCCCUAAAAGCGGUCUCAGUUCAGAUUGUAGGCUGCAACUCGCCUACAUGAAGUCGGAAUUGCUAGUAAUCGCGGAUCAGCAUGCCGCGGUGAAUACGUUCCCGGGCCUUGUACACACCGCCCGUCACACCAUGGAAGUCGGUAACACCCGAAGCCUGUAGCCUAACCUUUUUGGAGGGCGCAGUCGAAGGUGGGAUCGAUGACUGGGGUUA